CUCAGAUUGAACGCUGGCGGCAGGCCUAACACAUGCAAGUCGAGCGGUAGCACAGAGAGCUUGCUCUCGGGUGACGAGCGGCGGACGGGUGAGUAAUGUCUGGGAAACUGCCUGAUGGAGGGGGAUAACUACUGGAAACGGUAGCUAAUACCGCAUAAUGUCGCAAGACCAAAGUGGGGGACCUUCGGGCCUCAUGCCAUCAGAUGUGCCCAGAUGGGAUUAGCUAGUAGGUGGGGUAACGGCUCACCUAGGCGACGAUCCCUAGCUGGUCUGAGAGGAUGACCAGCCACACUGGAACUGAGACACGGUCCAGACUCCUACGGGAGGCAGCAGUGGGGAAUAUUGCACAAUGGGCGCAAGCCUGAUGCAGCCAUGCCGCGUGUGUGAAGAAGGCCUUCGGGUUGUAAAGCACUUUCAGCGGGGAGGAAGGCGAUAAGGUUAAUAACCUUGUCGAUUGACGUUACCCGCAGAAGAAGCACCGGCUAACUCCGUGCCAGCAGCCGCGGUAAUACGGAGGGUGCAAGCGUUAAUCGGAAUUACUGGGCGUAAAGCGCACGCAGGCGGUCUGUCAAGUCGGAUGUGAAAUCCCCGGGCUCAACCUGGGAACUGCAUUCGAAACUGGCAGGCUAGAGUCUUGUAGAGGGGGGUAGAAUUCCAGGUGUAGCGGUGAAAUGCGUAGAGAUCUGGAGGAAUACCGGUGGCGAAGGCGGCCCCCUGGACAAAGACUGACGCUCAGGUGCGAAAGCGUGGGGAGCAAACAGGAUUAGAUACCCUGGUAGUCCACGCCGUAAACGAUGUCGAUUUGGAGGUUGUGCCCUUGAGGCGUGGCUUCCGGAGCUAACGCGUUAAAUCGACCGCCUGGGGAGUACGGCCGCAAGGUUAAAACUCAAAUGAAUUGACGGGGGCCCGCACAAGCGGUGGAGCAUGUGGUUUAAUUCGAUGCAACGCGAAGAACCUUACCUGGUCUUGACAUCCACAGAACUUUCCAGAGAUGGAUUGGUGCCUUCGGGAACUGUGAGACAGGUGCUGCAUGGCUGUCGUCAGCUCGUGUUGUGAAAUGUUGGGUUAAGUCCCGCAACGAGCGCAACCCUUAUCCUUUGUUGCCAGCGGUUCGGCCGGGAACUCAAAGGAGACUGCCAGUGAUAAACUGGAGGAAGGUGGGGAUGACGUCAAGUCAUCAUGGCCCUUACGACCAGGGCUACACACGUGCUACAAUGGCAUAUACAAAGAGAAGCGACCUCGCGAGAGCAAGCGGACCUCAUAAAGUAUGUCGUAGUCCGGAUUGGAGUCUGCAACUCGACUCCAUGAAGUCGGAAUCGCUAGUAAUCGUAGAUCAGAAUGCUACGGUGAAUACGUUCCCGGGCCUUGUACACACCGCCCGUCACACCAUGGGAGUGGGUUGCAAAAGAAGUAGGUAGCUUAACCUUCGGGAGGGCGCUUACCACUUUGUGAUUCAUGACUGGGGUGAAGUCGUAACAAGGUAACCGUAGGGGAACCUGCGGCUGGAUCACCUCCUUCU
rnacentral:rRNA from 1 species